AGGAACGUCCCGACCAUACUCCGAGAACGUCAGAAACUAAGAUCACGGAAGCGUUUUUUACAAACUGCCACCGACUACGCGAGCAAUGUUCGCUGGUGGACGUCCGUGUUUUUUACUGUGACUAAAGAAGUGCGACCAAGGCAGUCCAUCGACAUGAAUUAGAAAGCAUGGAUAACAAAGCAGCAGCCUAUGAGCUACCGUUUAGGCUUUUGUUGGUUUUAAAGGUUCGUGGGAGAUUACGGGCGUGUAGGACCGGCGUUGGGGGUUUUCCAAAAUCCCCGCGUCUCCUCCUGGCAUCGGAAACGGUGCUUGCGGGGCCUGCUUCGCUCAGGAAUGAAGGAGGGUUGCUCGGGGGAAAACGUACUUGGGCGUGAGAGGUGAAAUUCUUAGACCGCCCAAAGACGAACUACAGCGAAGGCAUUUUCCAAGGAUACCUUCCUCAAUCAAGAACCAAAGUGUGGGGAUCGAAGAUGAUUAGAGACCAUUGUAGUCCACACCACAAACGAUGACCCCCAUGAAUUGGGGAGUUUUUGCGGAGGCGCCUCCCGGCUUGUCCGGG
rnacentral:rRNA from 1 species